rnacentral:lncRNA from 1 species
GAGGCUUGAUCAGGAUUCUGUCUUGCCUCCAUUCUUUCGCGUCUCCUGCCCCUUCUUCCCUUUUCAACCCCUACAGGUUCCUCCUCGGACUCACAAGGAUUUGUCCUGCUGGUCGGGACUCCCGGGGACGCCCGGGGCCGUGCACAAUUGGCGCCCAACGUGGGGCCCGAGGAACGGAUCCUAACGGAGGUAGCACGCUUACGAACGCCUGGCCAGGCACCCACUGAGCCGCCGCGAGAGUUAACUCGAAAGUGCAGCUUGAAUAGGUCCCCGGAGGACUGGCCGCCCUUCGGCAGUUGUGACCUGAGAAUAAGAAAAAGAUGGAGAUCCUCUUGGCAUUGAAAAGACGACAAAGACAACAAGGACUAUCCGUUGUGACCCUGAUCCUGUCAUCUUUGCUGGUUGUCAGCCAGGCUGAACCCCCUCCACACUUGCCUCAGAAUUUAACCUGAAGCAGAACCAAAAGAUGAUUCUGGCUGCCCCUCCACUGGAGCGGCAUGAGACAGAGACAUGCCUACCCCCCUCUUUGAUGGGAGGGUAUGGGUACCGAGUUGAGUGUGACAGCAAAGCAUGCACAAGGGAAAACCUUUAUACAUAAGGUAAUCUCUGUUAUUCCCUGUGAGUAUACCUGAAUUAUGAAAGAGGUUGGUAUCUAAACAUUGUUUUUGGCUUCAGUAUCUAAGAUUAUUCUUGGCUCUGCCUCUCCUCCCCAAAAGAUACCAAGAGCCAGCAAUGGUGGACACACAUACAUUGUCCACGGGAGGAUUCAGGUCACUACUCCCUCACUCGGUUAAUGCCCACCUCCUUAAAAGAAAUAAAAAGGGAGGAGAUGUUGGGAGCCAAGAAGUUUUCGCCAUUAGAAGAUGGCCGACAUCCUGCUUCUCUUCCUGCUUAAUGAGAUAAAAGCCCGCGCCUAAAACGAAAGCCCGCUCACGCAGCACCAAUGAUAAUUUGCCAAGUACUUCCCUUAUUCUGGAUCCCGCCCCCCUUUCUCUGUACUGUAUAAAUACAGCUACUGCAGCAAUAAAAGUUUGAGGCUUGAUCAGG